rnacentral:misc_RNA from 1 species
GAAAUGCGAUAAGUAGUGUGAAUUGCAGAAUUUAGCGAAUCAUCGAAUCUUUGAACGCACAUUGCGCCCCUUGGUAUUCCAUGGGGCAUGCCUGUUCGAGCGUCAUUUCAACCCUCAAGCACUGCUUGGUGUUGGGCGUUUGUCCCGCCUACGCGCGUGGACUCGCCUCAAAGUCAUUGGCAGCUGUUCCCCUUCGGCUCGUAAGCGCAGCACAGUCGGCGCCCGGUGCUCUGGUGGGAUGGCGUCCAGCAAGCUAUAUUUUCAGGCUUGACCUCGGAUCAGGUAGGGAUACCCGCUGAACUUAAGC